rnacentral:piRNA from 1 species
CUGAUUUCCAGACGACGCAGAUGGGA